rnacentral:misc_RNA from 1 species
UUGAAUACGAUUGGUACUGAUGCUGGCUCUUCACUGAGCAUGUGCUCGUCCAUCUAUUUAUCUUCUCUUGUGCACAUUUUGUAGUCUUGAACGAAACCUAUCGCAGUCAAUGCGGUCUGGGAGCCUGGGCGUGAGCCCUUCUCCUGCUUCUUCAAGGCUAUGUUUUCAUAUACACUAUAAAGUUACAGAAUGUCUUUUAACGAUUGCGCUUGUCGUAGUCAUUAAACCUAUA